UAUACUCGAAAACUAUUGAAAUAUAAAUUCUAAACUAUGUUGCUCAGAUCCUCCAGAAAUGCUACCAUGUCUGUGUUGGAUCCUCCAGAAAAAUGCUUAGCUUUUGGAGCAUCCGAGCAACAUAAAUUUUAAAUCGUUCUAGUUUCACCCUGCUCUGUGUAUCACUAAGUUGAAAAUACAACUGCAGGAUUGAGCCAAGGUAUCAAGAACUGCUGGACGAGGACAUACCACGAGCAGAGAACAACGGGGUUAAAGUAAAAAUUAUAGCAGGUGAAGCGAUGGGAGUCCAAUCUCCAGUUUACACACGAACGCCUACAAUGUACCUCGAUUUCACCCUACAACCAACAUCUUACCAUCAUCAAGCCAUCCCAGAGUCUUGGAAUGCGUUCGUGUAUAUAAUCGAAGGAGAAGGCGUCUUCGGAAUUCCAAAUUCGGGUCCAGUAUCAGCUCACCAUUGCUUGGUUUUAGGCCCCGGAGAAGGACUUAGCGUGUGGAACAAGUCGUCUAAGCCAUUGAGAUUUGUUCUGUUAGGUGGACAACCUCUUAACGAACCUGUGGUUCAACAUGGUCCUUUCGUGAUGAACUCACAAGACGAAAUUGAUCAAACUUUCGAGGAUUAUCAAUACUGCAAGAAUGGUUUUGAGAAUGCUCGAUACUGGAGAUCCGGACAUUGUAAACUUACAACUAUAGGAAACUUUCGGUCUUAUAAUUCCUUUUGACCUAUGUCGCUCGAACUCUUUGAAAGAUGCACUACUGUUGGACGAUCUGACACGCACCCGUUGGCAUUUUUAAAGAGUCUGAGCAACACAACUUUUGACUCGACCCCAUAUAGAUACUUUACACACCACCAAUUUAUUGCACUUCACUUUGACUAAAUUCUCAAAGAUUUUGGACAUUUUAUGAAAUCAUGUUCGCAGAAAUACAAGGUAAGGCUGUGUACAAUAUACCCUUGUGGUGGGCCCUGACGCCGCGCAUAGCGGUAGCUUUAGUGCACCGGGCUGCCCUUUUAUGUUCUUGAAAUCAAGAACUAUUUGUCCCAAAUGUGACAUCUAGACUUAUUUUUAAAUUUAUGUAUAUCAUCUCUAAACAUGUCCCAAUAGUCUUUCGAAAAAUCGAUUUUGCAGCUUGUUCAGCUCAGUUUGAAUUAGCCCGAACCUAUAAUGUCCCAAGUCAAAUUUAUAUUCCGAAAAGUGAAAACUUUGUGGCGUUUACAUGGUCGAUAUAGUACCUCUUUUGCCUUCUUAAUAACUAUACUCGAAAACUAUUGAAAUAUAAAUUCUAAACUAUGUUGCUCAGAUCCUCCAGAAAUGCUACCAUGUCUGUGUUGGAUCCUCCAGAAAAAUGCUUAGCUUUUGGAGCAUCCGAGCAACAUAAAUUUUAAAUCGUUCUAGUUUCACCCUGCUCUGUGUAUCACUAAGUUGAAAAUACAACUGCAGGAUUGAGCCAAGGUAUCAAGAACUGCUGGACGAGGACAUACCACGAGCAGAGAACAACGGGGUUAAAGUAAAAAUUAUAGCAGGUGAAGCGAUGGGAGUCCAAUCUCCAGUUUACACACGAACGCCUACAAUGUACCUCGAUUUCACCCUACAACCAACAUCUUACCAUCAUCAAGCCAUCCCAGAGUCUUGGAAUGCGUUCGUGUAUAUAAUCGAAGGAGAAGGUGUCUUCGGUAUUACAAAUUCAGGUCCGGUAUCAGCUCACCAUUGCUUGGUUUUAGGCCCC
rnacentral:lncRNA from 1 species